rnacentral:lncRNA from 1 species
AGGCACCCGGGGAGGGGGCGACCCGAUGUGGCGGGGAGGAGUAGGAGAGACCAGGAUUGGCGGGAGCGGUCCAAGGGAGUCAGCCGGGGAGGGCGAAAAGGGUGGGGAAAUCAGGGGCAUGGGGGCGUGGGGGCGUGGAGGCGUGGGGGCGGGGGGAGUGAGCGGAACCAAAGAAGCUCCGGGAGAUCCGGGUGUUAAAAGCUGGUUGGAUGUGAGUGGAAGGAACUCAGAAUAUAGGAGGAAGGAGACCCGAAACGGCACCGGAGGGAUUAUAAAAAAAAGGAAAAGAAUGGGGAUGAUGGUGGCCUUCCCUUCAGUGAGUGGGCUCUGGGAGAAAGGGAGGAGGAUCCAUCAGGCCUAGGCGGUUGAAGAAGGUUAAGAACCUUUUGGAGAUGGAGGAGGUAUGAUGUGAAGUAGCCCACCCCGUCGAAGGCAUUUACAUUGCUGGCGCAUUCCCUCCUCUUACCGGCCUUUUCCACCUCAGAUCCCCCUGUCCUACCCAUCCUAGCUUUAACUCAGCCAUAAUUGCCUUGCUUAAUCCCAGGAACCUGGCCACUGCUCCUUGGUCCUUGGCAUUAUGACGGGAUUCCCUUGUCACCUCUGACAGUUCCUGGCUGCGGUGUCCGCGGACUGGCUGGGGAGUGAUGACAGAAGGGAUGGAAACCCUAUUUUCUUUUCUCCAAGACCAUGGUUGGUCUGCUUCCCUCACUCGGGCUCCUUGACAGUCUUCUAGAAGAGAGGAGGAGGAAAAGAAGCAGUUCCUGAUGUUACAAAUGAACAAGGAUCUCCCAGCCUUAGUCUUUGAGAAAAGAUGGCUGAAAGAGAGGAACUCUCCAAGUCAUUCCGCAAACAAAUGCCCAUUUAAACAUCAUCCUUGUCUUGUGAAGAAAACAGGAAGAAUGUCAUGCACCGUGUGGAUCACCUUCAGUUCAAAGUUGCAGCAAAGUGAAGAAACUACUGGAAGCCACCCAGCAAUGCACUGUUUAGUCAUCAAUUAGGAGCCCAUGGGAGGAUAAUAGGGAGACUGGGUGGAGGCUCAGUGUGUAAUAAUCUCUUGUCUAAUGUAUGUGUGUCACUGCCAUGUUGUAUGAACAAUAGUGAGGGCUCACAUUUACUUAACACUUGUGUACUCAAAUCUGGGUUUUUCUUUCUUUCCAGAACUAUGACUCAAUCAUAAAAUCUGUUUUGUUUGCAUGCAUGCCCAAAACAACCCUAUAGGUAGAACAUUAUCAUUAUCUCUGUUUUAGAGAUGAGGAAACAGGCUCAGAGAAGCUCAGAAAUUUGUUCAAGAUCGCACAGCUAGUAAAUGGCAGAAGUAGGAUUGUGAACCCAGGGAAUCUCCAGAGCCUCUGUGUAACCAUGAUAUUAUAUUUUUUUCCUCUUUAAAAACAAAAUUAAAAACCUUGCUAUAAUCUCUUAUUAG